rnacentral:lncRNA from 1 species
GAUUUAUUUGAGAUUAAUUUAUAGCUUCUUUGUAUUUCUUUUGUAACUUCUUUUAAAUUUAUUUUGGAUUGAUUAAUGUUUGAUUAGGAUUAUUAAGGAUUACUUAAAGUUUAUUUAAGACUCUAUUAGACUUGGUAGGAUUAUUGUUGCAUUUCUACUUAUCUUCCAUAGCUAAAUGUUUGAUGCAUUUCCAGAUAAGAAUAUACGUAAUACGACAAUGGUGCUUGUUUUGUGAGAAGCUCAGUCGCAAAGAAGUUGAUCUCACAAGGCAUAAGCGAUUGCAAAUGAUGAAUGUAGAAAUAUUUUCAAUUCUUUUUCAAAUAAGCAAUAUCAUAGCUUACAUGAAGUCUAGCAUGCCAAAACAUGGAUAGUGCACAAUACCUUCCAAAAUGCUUCAAAGAAGCAAUUCUUCAACCAAGAAAAUUUUUAAAAUAUCCUUACAACUCAUUUUGACAUAACGAAGGUAAAUUUUUGGUAUUGUGAGGAAGAUGGUCAAGGCGGUUGAUAAUGGGGUUGUGUGGGUGUGGUAUGCUU